UCCCGUAUUUUUAUACAUUGGGACAACCCGGAUUAACUAUGACAAUUAAGGGCCAAGACUCUUUCGGGAUUUGAAGUCGGAAAUUUUGACCAUUUGAUUUUAUUUUGAGGCAUAAGUUGAAUAUGAAAUUGUUGGCAUUGAACACUUAGGAAAAUUUGGGACCAAAAUUCAUAAUUUGGAAAUUAAAAGUCUUGCAAAAAAAAAAAGAUGUGUGGAUUGAAGUGGUCCCCACACAUUGUUGUGGCCAAUUUAAUUGGUCCAACACAUGUGUGGGCCCAAGGACACAUGGAGCAAUUUUUGUGGAACUUAAAAAGAUGACUUUCAAGUCAUCUUCUUGUCAUUCCAACACUUAAAAAAAAAAAAAGGAAGAGCAAAGUUGAAGCCAUGGAGGCUCAAGGCUAGAAACCAAGAAAACCAACCCUCAUUUUUAGCCUUCCCAAAAAUAAUUCUUUGGUUCAAACCCACUAAUUAGAGGUCCCUAAGUAACGUGGAAGUGUCGUUGGAGCGAUCAACCAUCAAAUUUGUGGAUUUCAAACCCUAGCCUAAUGGUGGAGUAAAGAAGAAAGACCUUGGGGAUCCCGAGGCGUAGAUUGGGAUUGACUUUAGGUUGGCUAUCUUGGAGUGCGUACGAGGUACAGACGCACAGUUUGGUGAUUCACCAGUUUAGGACAUCCCCUUCUGCUGGUUGGAGUGCUCUUCUCAUUUCAGAGCAUAUAUGUUGGUAUAUAUUUGUUCGCUGAGUAUGUACAUAUUUGUUCAGGGGUACGGCGGGGGCCCUGUCCCGCCAUAUGUUUUGAUCGGUCUGUUUAGAGGUCUGUAGACGUAUUUGUGGGUGUGUGUGCCUACUUCUGUACAGUUGUGUUUAUAUGGUUCUAUUCGUUAUGGCAGCCUUGUCGGCGUGCAUUUGUAUAUGUGUUUUGGGCCGUUGUGCCAUUUGAUAGCCUUGUCGGCUUUUGACAUAUUUGACAGCCUUGUCGGCUUUUUACAUAUUUGAUAGCCUUGCCGGCUUUUUGAUAUAUGUGCAUAUGUUCGGCGAUGUAUAUUCCGCCGCCUCUUCUGAUUCUGAUAUAAUGUUUUGUACGCGCAAUCGCGCAAGAUAA